rnacentral:rRNA from 1 species
UACGGAGGGUGCAAACGUUGCUCGGAAUCAUUGGGCGUAAAGCGCACGUAGGCGGCCUGUUAAGUCGGGUGUGAAAGCCCUGGGCUCAACCCAGGAAGUGCACUCGAAACUGGCGGGCUUGAAUAUGGAAGAGGGUCGCGGAAUUCCCGGUGUAGAGGUGAAAUUCGUAGAUAUUGGGAAGAACACCGGUGGCGAAGGCGGCGAGCUGGGUCCAUUACUGACGCUGAGGCGCGACAGCGUGGGGGAGCAAACAGG